rnacentral:rRNA from 1 species
UACAGAGGUCUCAAGCGUUGUUCGGAUUCAUUGGGCGUAAAGGGUGCGUAGGCGGCGCGGUAAGUCGGGUGUGAAAUCUUGGAGCUUAACUCCGAAACUGCAUUCGAUACUGCCGUGCUUGAGGACUGGAGAGGAGACUGGAAUUUACGGUGUAGCGGUGAAAUGCGUAGAUAUCAGGAGGAACACCCGUGGCGAAAGCGGCUCUCUGGGACGGUACUGACGCUGAGGCGCGAAAGCGUGGGGAGCGAACAGG